GACGAACCGUGCGAACGUUAUUCGGAAUCACUGGGCUUAAAGCGCGUGUAGGCGGGUCGGUGCGUCGGCCGCUGAAAUCCCCCGGCUCAACCGGGGAAGGGGCGCCGAUACGACCGGCCUGGAGCGACGUAGGGGGAACUGGAACUUCCGGUGGAGCGGUGAAAUGCGCAGAUAUCAGGAAGAACACCUAUGGCGAAAGCAGCUCUCUGGGACGGUACUGACGCUGAGACGCGAAAGCGUGGGGAGCGAACAGG
rnacentral:rRNA from 1 species